UGCCUAGCGUAAGCUGCACUCCUGCAAUGUCCAUAGUCAAAAUUCUAGUCACAAUCAGCAGAAGGCUACAUAAAGCCAAAAUCUUCUGAUCUUUUGCAGAAGUGAAAUAAGACAACUAAUGUAAGAGUAACUCGAUCUGUAUACAGUUACAAACCACUAUGCUACCUCUAGAAUCCUCUAGAAAUAAGUAAUACAUUUUUCUUAAAGUGACAUAUUGGAGAAUA
rnacentral:misc_RNA from 1 species